rnacentral:rRNA from 1 species
CCUACGGGAGACUGCAGUGAGGAAUAUUGGUCAAUGGGCGGAAGCCUGAACCAGCCAAGUAGCGUGCGGGAUGAAGGCCCUACGGGUCGUAAACCGCUUUUGCACGGGGAUAACACCCUCCACUUGUUGAGGUCUGCAGGUACCGUGCGAAUAAGGGCCGGCUAAUUCCGUGCCAGCAUCCGCGGUAAUACGGAAGGCCCGGGCGUUAUCCGGUUUCCUUGGGCUUAACGGGAUCGUAGGCGGGCGUUCAAGUCAGCUGUAAAAUCGCGCGGCUAAACCGCGCCCCGCAGUUGAAACUGGACGCAUUGAGUUCACAACAGGCAGGCGGAAUUCGUGGUGUAGCGGUGAAAUGCAUAGAUAUCACGAGGAACCCCGAUUGCGAAGGCAGCCUGCCGGGGUGCGACUGACGCUGAGGCUCGAAGGUGCGGGUAUCAAACAGGAUUAGAUACCCGAGUAGUC